GGGUGCGUAGCUCAGUGGUAGAGCGCCUGCCUUACAAGCAGGAUGUCGGCGGUUCGAAACCGUCCGCGCCCACCG
rnacentral:tRNA from 7 species